UAGCUUUGUCCCGACUUUUUGUAAUCGUUUACUGAAUUUGGCAUGGUAGUUCUCGCGAGAGAAAAAUGAACCCAGCCUAAAACAUUAAUACAAUUUUAGAAAUAAAAAUUUAAUUUUAGUAAAAAUUCUCUGACUAAUUAGGUGCCAGCAGUCGCGGUCAUACCUAAAGAGGAGAUUACACAAUUAGGCGUGACUUAAUUAUUGUGGGAUUGGAUUAGGGUUGGUGAAAUAACCUAAGUGCUAAUAACUCCCUACACAAGAAUUUUGUCUAAACUUAGAAUAAAAACUAGGAUUAGAUACCCUAUUAUUCUGAGCACAAAACCGAAGCCUAAGUACUAAGACUAAAAUAGUUAAAACUUAAAAGACAUGGCGGCAGUUUUAACUUUUAGGGGAACUUACCAGAUAAAUGAUAACCCACAAGAAAAAUCACUUUUCUUCAAAGCUUGUAUACCGCCGUCUUCAGAACCUACUUUAGGUAGGCCCGAAAUUGCUUUGCAAAAAGACAGGUCAAGGUGCAGCCUAUAGAAAAGACUUGAGGUGAGUUACAAUAUUAAAUCUUUUCGGAGCUUCUUUGUAACAAAGAGGAUAAAGGUGGACUUAAAAGUAAAGAAUACUAAUAGAAAUACUUCUUGAAUUUGUAACAGCUGUGUACAAAUCGCCCGUCACUCUCGUUGGAAAAGGAGAUAAGUCGUAACACAGUAGGGGUACUGGAAAGUGUCCCU
rnacentral:ncRNA from 1 species